rnacentral:rRNA from 1 species
AAGCUCGUAGUUGAAUUUCGAAUGUGGCUGGGCGGUCCGCCUCACGGUGUGUACUGUCUGGCUGUGUUCUCUUUCUUGGUGAGCCGGCAUGCCCUUUACUGGGUGUGUUGGGGAACCAGGACGUUUACCUUGAGAAAAUUAGAGUGUUCAAAGCAGGCCUACGCCCGAAUACAUAGCAUGGCAUAAUAAAAUAGGACGUGCGGUUCUAUUUUGUUGGUUUCUAGGAUUGACGUAAUGAUUAAUAGGGAUAGUUGGG